rnacentral:ncRNA from 1 species
AUCUGUAAAGGGCAUACCCCGCGAAAGCGGGCGACGCAAAGUCAUCGGUCUACCGGGCAAAAGCCCCAUGACGGCAGGACUGCCAGA